rnacentral:rRNA from 1 species
GUAGGGGGCAAGCGUUGUCCGGAUUUAUUGGGCGUAAAGAGCGUGUAGGCGGCCAGGUAGGUCCGUUGUGAAAACUCGAGGCUCAACCUCGAGACGCCGAUGGAAACCAUCUGGCUAGAGUCCGGAAGAGGAGAGUGGAAUUCCCGGUGUAGCGGUGAAAUGCGCAGAUAUCGGGAAGAACACCCGUGGCUAAGGCGGCUCUCUAGUACGGUACUGACGCUGAGACGCGAAAGCGUGGGGAGCGAACAGG